CGGCGGGGAGCGGCCGGCCGGCGGCGCCAUGUUGGGGAGGUCGCGGCGCGCGUCCCCUGCAGGGAGUGCGGGCGCGGAGGGGCCGAGGGGGCGGUGGCGCCAUCGGCGCCAUCUUGGGGAGGUCGCGCCCGUUCUCCCCUUCAGCGGGGAGCCGCGGGGGCACCGGGCCCGGCCUGCGCUCCCAAGCGCGCUUUUCUGUGGAAAAGUGUUUAAAAACAUCCCAGCCUGCUGCUCGUCGAUGGAUUUCCUGCCUGUACUGAAGAGAAGCUGCCAAAUUCGUGUACGCUGUGAUUAAGUUAUAAAAGAUGUACCCAUCGUUAACCCAGUGACAUCAGAUAGGUGCUUUCUGACCACCUGCAAAACGAAGGGAUAUUUUUCAAGUUUUAGAUUCUUCUGCAUGACAAGAGGGAGACAGAAGAUUAAGUGAUACAUUGUUUAGAAAUAGAGUGCUUAGUUUAUAUUUAACUCAUAAUUAAUAGAUGUAAGUAACUAGACAAUUAUAACUAACAUCAGUUAUUUCUUAGUAUAUAUGUAUGUCAAAAUUUUCAAAAAUUGUAAUGCAUAUGUAAUAAUUAUGUGAAUAUAAGCAACGCAAGAACAUCCAGCCUUUGGAGAACUUAUGGAGGGUGAUCCCAGCGCUGAUAAAAUUAAGGACGUCGCUUGACGGUACCAUGGACUCUGCUCUUAAGUUUAUUUCACCAGUUCAGUUCAAUGCCAUGUACCGCCCUGGUGGUUUCGGGGUGGGAGAAACCACAUUGCUGAGCUAAUCUGGGUUAAAAAAAUAAAAUGAGAUAGAAAAGAUCAAACCGAGACGUCGGGCGGGUGCGUGCGGGGCAUCUGUUUGGAGCUGUAAAUCUUCACCGCCCGCUCGAGGCAGCUGGGGCUGCUCCGAAACGCGCCUUGGUUCCCUUCCUCGUGGAAAACAAACGGUGAAAAGAGCCUUGGCAGCCCGGCCACCUGCUUUGUGCCCUGGACACAAACAGGCCACAAAGCCUCUCGUUUCCAGCACCACCCGGGCUCCAAGGCAUCUAUUAGGAUCACGGAAGAAGGUUUUCGCAUUCAAAGGCUGCCCCUGGAUUUUCAGGAGGAACCUGAAAUAUGAAGGAGAAGGAUUUAAAACCCAGCAGGAAAACGAGACGGCGGAAAUAAAACCAAGUAUAAAUCCGUGUUUUGUAGGAGGGAGGCUUAAGAUGGGACGUGAAGUCUGGUGAACCAAAACUGUCAAGUUUAAGAUGUUUUCUCCACACCUAAAGAACAACAUGGGAAGUACAGCUAGGAGAAAACUUAACACAAGCUUGGUAAGAGCAGGCUGGAAAGCAAAAUAUUUUCAGUAAUAUUCCCUCAUUAAGGAUCUGAUGUGUUUAUUGUGCACUCUGUGCUCGAGUUCUGGCGGGUCAAAAAUGCAGUAGGGCAAUCAUAACUUUAUUUUUGUUGGCAUAGAAUGUAUGUAAUUUGUUUUACUUCAGGACAUCAGCCUACCCUCUGCUCCUCGUAGAAAUGUCAUUGUGGAAUGUCAUUGUACUAAAAAUGAUAACAUUUUUGUCAUUAUACUAAUAUCCGCCACUGGGAUUUUACAACUUCCCUCAAAGGAUGUGGCACAAGCCCCUGUAAAAGGGGAUGUGCAUGCCAGCUCACUGCAUUCUGCAAAUUUAAUGAUAGGCAAAUACAGAAAAUACAGGAAUAACUUCAUCCCAUAGGUGACGUGAAGCACAGCCACAGAUUUUUUUUCACUUUACAAGUAUCACAGUAUGUUUGGGAUUGGAAGGGACCUCAAAAGAUCAUCUUGAUAGAUGACUCCUUAGGGCAGGACGCGGUGACCAUACUAUACCCAACUGAAGAUGCAAGGAUAUGGAAAGCACGGCGUGGAAAUCAAACGCAAACCGGUGUCCCUGGUCUGCAGAGCCAUCUGGGGCGACUGGCGCCCGCGUCAGGUCGGCUCGGGACGGACUGUCCGCUCUGCAGAGUCGCUUCCAUGGUGCUCCUGCAUUUUUUGGGGAUCUUUGCUGCCACGUGCGCGUUGUGGGGAAAACAACGCCCCUGCUUUUCUCGUGUCGUCUUAGACUUAAUCACUCUGAGUUUUGGAUGCUCUGGAUUUCUGUCGUUGGCCUCCCGUAGGUACAAAACGUGGAUCAAAGCCAAAUAAUGACUUACGCCAGUUGCUGAGAUGAUUGUGAGUUUUGCUGCGGAGCCGCGAAGGUGUUUUGGCCGGGGCUCGCUGCUCCGGGUGCCUUGCCAAGGAGGCAGCUGGUGCGGACUGUGACAGCGGCGGAAUUCCCCCGUGCUAAUCAGCGGUUUUGGAGCAGCGUCGCAAGCACUGAGACCUGGGACCGUGCCACCCGAGGGGCCUGGUGUGACCCACGGUGACACAGAACCUCUGCAGGAGGAAGAUCACGCCCCGGUACAUCACGGGCAGGUCAAUUUUGGUGAGCCACCGAGAAAAUUUCAUAAUGGUAGGAUGUGAUAAUACUGGAAAAGCUUUGGGACACUCUGGAGUCUCUCCCAUUGGAGGUUUUAAGAACAGGUCAGACAAAAUACCACUCAGGAAUGCUGUAGCUAGAGUUGCUCCUGCCUCAGGGAGAGGGAAGGAUGACAUGACGUCUCAGGGUCCCAUCCAGGUGCCACGGUUGGGUUUGGGCACAAGAGCCCUAACUCCAGUGAAGACUUUUCUUCUGUGGGAGGGUGUCUGCGUUACAACCACGUGUGCAAGUGUGAAAAAGUACUAUUGACCUUUAAGGACCACAAACAGAAAUUACAUUUUCAUAGGGAGAGGAGACACAUGCCCUUAGUAGCGCAUUUAGCACAUCUUGUAGACCAGGUCAGUCCAACACGUUGCUCGGGUCAGCUAAGCCAAUGUGGAGAGAAGGAACAUUUCUCCAAAAAGACUUCCUAAACACACCAACUCUUGCUUAUUUUAUGGCAGCAGACAUUACAACAACCAAGAAUCUCAUACCUUCCUGGGCUUAGAUGAUCUCUGGCAUGCUGGAGAUGAAGGAGCCGCACGUGGCCGUGCAGCAGAAGACACGUUCCUGGCAGCAAUUCUCUGCAGGGUCUGCUUGCCGCAAAACAUCCGAGCUGCCUCCGAGUUACAACAUCUGCUGCCCAUUGGGACUUCUUGGCUGCCUGUGCUUGCGAGCGACGGAAGAGGUGGAACCCCAGCCGCCUGGCAUCUUGUAUCAUCAGGGGGGAAAAAGUGGCUGGGUCUUUUUUCUUUCAUAUGGAGCUUUGAUUCAUCUUUAUCCCAGAGAAAAGCAAGUGAUUCACCCACUAUGCUGUAAAUGAAACACCCUGAUGAUUUAGCUGAACUGACUGAGCAGUUUUUAAACAUUUGCAGUGCAGACUGAAGGGGUGAAGGCUGCAGACGCAGCUGCUCAGCUGUUUCCUCCUCUCCCUCUUUUUCAGAUUUAAAAAAUUGCAUCCAUUUCUUUCCUUUAAUAUGAGUCUUUGCAACGUGGAUUGUUCAAUAAUGUCCAAUAAAGCAGAUUUGCACGGCUUAUAAAGAGGCAGGCUGCUUUUCAGUACUCUGAGGAGAAUGUUGAUAAUGCAAUGGGUUUGUUAUAAGUAGCCUUGAUUGGGCUCUGGCUGCCACAGCUUUUCUGGAGCCAGAUUAGCCCAAAGCUGAGUCUGAGUUUUGGGUGGAUUCUUGUGAUUAAAAGCGCUGUUAUAGUUUGCAUAAUCACCAAAAUCUUCACAGGUGCAAUCACUCCGUAGAGCUGCUCCUGGCAGGAUAGUGGAUUCCUGCAGCAUCUCCCAGAGCCUGUCAGGGCCCUGCAAAUACAGAUUUCUGCUCUUUCAUCUCAAUAUCCUGUCUCUUCAGUUUAGAUCCUUAUACCUAGCUCUUCAUCUUUGUGCUACUGUAUAUAAACACACUCCUCAGAUGUUUUCAGCUCAAAAGUCGUUUAAGUUCUGCGUACACUGAUCUUUCUGUUUUUCUGCACAGGAUAUGAAAAGCAUCUAAAGUUGUCCAGGGUUACAGUGCAACAUGGGACAGAGUGAAGAGCCUGAAGAUAAUAUAGAAUCAUAGAAUCGUUUCGGUUGGAAGAGACCUUCAGGAUCAUCGGGUCCAGCCAUAAGCUAACCAUCUCUAGCACUAACCCAUGUCCCUAAGAACCUUGUCUAAACACCUUUUAAACCCCUCCAGGGCUGGUGACUCCAGCACUGCCCUGGGCAGCCUGUUCCAAUGCCCCACAGCCCUUUCCAUGCUGAGGCUUGUCCCGUACCAGCUCUGCGCUGCUGCUGGAGCACUUGAUAAGCCCAGUUCUAAAUUGUGGGACUGGGCCAGUGCUGCUCCAGCGAGCUGCGGUGACACCUCCUUAAACCAGCUGCCGCUUUCUUAACACAGACCGUAGCAUACAGUCCUUCCAAAUAACGUGCUGCUGCAACGCCUUUUGCACAGGGCUGCAAAUCCGCUCAUUGCGAGAUAUUCCUUCAGGUCCAAUCUGCUUUUCUUAAGGAAAUCAAUUCCCCCAGCAGCCACUGAAGAGGGAUUACACCGAGCUGGAUAUUUAUGAUGUGCUUUUCUUUGUUUCUCAAGGCAGUUUCGCCUAAACUGCAUAACAGCAAGGCGGUUUUCCCCCAGCUGGGUCAGCCGUCUGAGCACAGUCCCACUCGGCUAUUAUUAGCAGGGCUGAGUCUACAACUGCGCGGGAGCGAUAAGCUCAAGACGACUGUGCUUCCUCGCCAAGGAGCCGUCUCGCUGCGCUCCACUCCUCCACGUCUAAGAUACCGCUGCACUGAAGUCAGGAGGUAUUUUUGCUCUCUGAAGAGGGGUGCCCAAAAGGCGCCGGCGGGCUGGUUUCCUUUGAACGGAAGAUUAGACAGAGAGAACAUCUCACACAGUUUUACCCUCAUCGUUCAAGACACCAGAGUCACGGAAGUUUUUAAGUUUUCUGAUACUCCUUUUUACGGCCUUUACCCCAAAUUCUUCAGGAACUGCUGUUCACAAAAGGGGGAUCCACAUUUCCAGAUCUUCAGUUUCAAAUCCCAAUCUCUAGACAACUCUUACUUCCCAUAAGAUACUAAACAUCAGGAUUAAGGGAUGGGAAAAGCGUCGGGGAUAUCACUGCUGCAGCACAGCAAGAGAUUCAAUAGCAAUUUCUGUUCUCCAUGCAACUUUCAGCCCCCGGCAUUGUGAACAGGCUCCAGCUGGCUGGCUUAUGCUUUAUUUGGGGAAAAAAUGAGAAAAACGGAUGGAGUUGAAGAUGUCCCUGCUCAUCACAGGGGGCUGGAGUAGAUGGCCCUUAAAGGUCCCUUCCAACCCAAACUCUUCUAUGAUUCUCUGAUUCUAGAACCCCCAAACCACAGCCAUAUUGGUUUCCCUGGACUCCUCACUUUGUGAGGAACUUACAUUUCUGUAUCCACACUAACUUUGAAUUUGCUUUUUCAGUAAAAUCUUAUAUAUCACGGUGGGUAUAGAAUCAUAGAAUCAUAAUUUCACUUGGAAGAGACCCUCAGGAUCAUCGAGUCCAACCAUACCCUAACUCUAGCACUAAACCAUGUCCCUAAGAACCUUGUCUAAACGUGGACAGGUCUCACUAGAAGUUCCUGUCCCUAAACAAGAAACUCGGGGCUGCUUUAAGCCUCCGCAUACAUUUAAUCAGAGGAAUCACAUCCUGCUCUUACUCUGUGAAUCAAGACUAGUCCAGGCAUUGGUGCAGACAUUUAGAUUUAGGGGAAAAUUAAUCCCCUGAGUCUCAGUUUUACAACUCUCAUGUAGCAACAUGUGAGAAGAAAAUCUGCACGUCGGAGGUGUUAAUUGUCACCUUGUGCUGAUGAAGCAGGAGCAUUGUGAAGCACAGAGGAAAGCAACAAGUAUAACAGGUUUUAAAAAUGCAACAAAGGAAUGAAAGGCUGAAAGUAGUGCACUUUCUUACCCUGAAGAGCUGAAAGCAAGGAGUUUUAAGAAAAAGGAGACAGAACAAUCCUCACUUCAUAAGAGAUCGUCGUAAAGACGAUCAGGAGCUGUGGGUUAUGGCUUAGGCAAGAAAAGCAAAGUAUCAACUACCAGUGUAAGAACUUGAAAUGUUUCCUAUUCUACUAUCUGCUUUCUGGUGAUGGCAACCGAAAUGAUACAACCAUAAGGCAAUGGGAAAGGAUGAGGAACCAAUAAAAACGUGUAAUUUCUAAGAAAACGGAGCUACUGCUUGGGCAGUUCCCAAAGGGCAAGCUAUAAUUAUCAGAUACUCCCAAAAUACUGUAUCUAUUUUCGGAAGGUGCUGGGCUUCCUGGAUAAAGUAUCUAAGGAGCAAAGGAGCAAAGCAACAAGUGACAGAAGAAGGACUCUUGCUUUCAAGGACACCAUUUCAGGCCCUACCGUUUGAGAGGAGUCGGACACCGCGGUGAGCUCACGGUUAUACUGGAAUGAGGCAAAGAGCCUCACGCGUGGAAAGCUGCCAUACACCCCAGCAGAAAACGCCUUUUCACUUGGUCUGGGAGCUUCAGCUUUACGUUUCCAUAAAGCUUUGCCUGUCUCGAAGAGCCAAAGCACAAGGUGAGAUUAAAAAAUCGAGAUUGCUAGAGGAGGCAAUACUAUCAACAGUGUUAGAAACAGCAGUGAUUUCAUAAGGGCUGGCUUUUUCUUCCUAUCAUUUCUCCAAGCAUUGUGCCAAUAAACAAAUUGCAAGUCAUGUCAGAAGCUUUACACCAACACCAACCAUAGUUAGGAAGCUUUCUUCUGAAGCAACCGAUGUUGCAAGAUAUUAAUAACUCGUUUUCCAUAGAAAGGUCAGUUUAAGAAAACUAGGAACAUGACACCAUUCAUCUACAUCAUCCAGCCCUCACUUCUGCCUUUGGGCCUUGAUAAAAUCUGUUUACAACCCAAUCAAACUCUACAGACAUGAAAUAGAUAUUCUCAACAGGCCCCUCCUCUUCUCUGAUGGAAAAUAAUCUUCCACAUGCAGAGCAUUCCCACUUGCUCCUCCACAACCAUUGCCAGAGAAGGAUGCAUUCAAUCAAGGAUGGGAAGCUCCCAGGAUCAUCAAAAGCAAAUGACGCAGAACAGACAUUGUCUCCACCAUAUUGCAGCUUCAACCCGCGUGACAUUUUGAACUGCUGUCAGGAAGAAACCCACAGAAGAUACCACAGACAACAUUUUCUGCAAACGAGAAGGGAGCCUGAUUGUUCCUGCUACGCAACGAGCAAUCCAAGUAGUUGUAACUGUCUAUUCAACAUGCAAAGUGCUACAUCAUGUACUAUGACAGUACGUCCAUCCGAUGAUGAACUGGGGGCCGAUUUAUUCUACAAACGUUUUUUUCAGACCAAGAGAGGUGAAAAAAGUCAUAGAUAAUGCAUUAAUUUUUCCAGGAAUGAAAUACUUUAAGGAAUGAGUGGUUUGCCAUAAGUGUGACAAACAUCAGGCUUUCGGGUCCAGCAGCGACCGUGCCUCACGUGCCCGUUUCCCAUCUCCUUUUAUCUGUAAGGACAGCCCAGCAUGACAAGAUCCGGCUUAGACGUGCAAAGCAAGGUGAGAUGACCCAUGUUUUAAGUCUCUUUUAGGUGUGUUGACAGUAUCACUGCUGAGAAAACUCCAGAAAACCCCUUACUUAACCAACCCAACUGGAAUUCAAACCUCAUGGCUCCUGGUUCCACAUGUCAGUGUUCACGGGGAACUCAUCGCCGUGGUUGUCUUCUGUACUUCACCCAAGACACCUCCUGUUAAGUGAUAUGGAAAAGGAGCCCUCAAGAGAUGUACAACCUGCUCGAAUCACCCUGAGAGAGAAGAACUAUUUUGUGAGGGUAAAUCUCGUUUUCAGCUUGCACUAGACAGCAUUAUUUUUGCUCUUGUCCCAGAAUCCCUGUCCUCCAGUCUACCUGCCAACAUUAAAAAGGUUCGUUUGGGUCUUUUAGAUUAUAAGAGCGCUUGGCCUAUCACUUGCGAUUUCAAUAUUCAAAAGUAUUCUAACGUUCAGCAGUAAUUACAGGUGAGCUUUUAAAGCAUUUGGUUCAAGCGAACUACUCCCUUCAUGGCAUAUAAUAAUGGCCGUUCCAAAGAAGACAUUAGAACCAUGUGUUGCGUUAAAUAUUUUCCUCAUUUUUCUUAAACAUUUCUCUCUUUUAGUGCCGAUUACAGCUAGAAAUGCUGACACUAAGCCAAUCGUUUGCAUAAAAAGGAUUUCACACUCAAUUUACUUCAGCUUAGUCGUAAAUAUAUCAGACCUUAACAGUAAAUCCCUUUGGCUGUUUCUCCUAAGUCAUAUAGCAACAGCCUAGAAGGAACGCUGCAUCCUUAAAAGACUCUGUUUUAUUUUAGAAUUAUAGUUCUUACUUUAACGAAAUUAUGUGCAGCCUAACCAAGAAAAUUAAAGGAAAAAGGUAUUUUCUCCCCAGGAUUCUCAACCCCAAGGCUGUUGGGGUGGGAAGGCACUAGAAGCUUCUUCUAAAAGGAUCCUCAAAAGCAUCUGCCAGAAGCAGGACUCCCAAACUCACUGAACGUCUUUAGCAAACUACCAGCAGCUGGGUCAUUAUACCGUGAAUAACGCGCUAGGAUGUAACGAAACCAUCGCAGCGUCCGAAAUGGAAAACCCCGAUGCUUGCGGGUGUCGUGGUGGCCGGACGGCACCUCGCAGACAGCAACGUCCUCAACUUUCGCACACUAAAACUCCGGGGUCUCGAAAUCAUUGUCGCUCCGGUCUGUCACCGAUAUAAAAUGGGUUUGCUUACGUGUAACCGUGGGAUCAGAUAACAGCUGCUUCGGCGGAAACCGCUGCGACGCGGCGCUGGAGAACAAGUUGCCCAGAAGGAAGCUGCUUCCCCAAACAGCUGCUCCUGCGUGCAACUGCUGUGCAACGCGGUUCUUCAUCUCGGUGGGAGAUGGGACUUGAACUGCUCCUGCAAACUGAGCCAGGACCCAAACCAACCACAAUGGUGCGGGGCGGCCUCGGGAUUUUAAGCAGAUCCUACUUCGGUGCUUGGAAAUACCUGUCUCUUAAAGCUCCCUAUACCGAGGUUGCAAGAGAUCUCUUGCUUUAGAACGCCGAUACUUGGGGGAAAUAUUUGCAAGUAUGUGCCAUGACCAGAGACUUCUUGGGGGGUGAUGGGGAAGCAAGAACAUGAGGAAAUGCUGAGGAAGACACGUCGAUGCUCAACAUAGAACAAACUGGUACUGCAAACCGCAUCUGAUUCAGCAGAACAUGCCAACUACAGGCUAAUUAGCAAGUUAACGGGAUUACCCACCUUGAUUUUCUUAACAUGGAGAUGAAACAAACUCGGUGCAGUGCAGUAGCCUCCAUAAUGAUGGUAGUUGGCCUAAAAGCAAUGCCACAAAACUAUUAUUUGACCCGGUCAAGAACUCCUGAUAGAGGGAACAUUUUAAGCCGGAGAAACAACAUAAGGCUUUAUGGGCCUUUAUUGGUUUGGGUCGAUCACAUUAUAAUUGUUCUGUUAUCCAUAACAUAAUGUUACCUGGAAGUCAGGAAGACUCUGCACCUCCUCCUGCAGUUCAGUCAAUCAGCAAUGGCCUCGAUCAGCACCACAGAUGUUUCAGCCCUGAGAAACCAACUGAAAUUCUGAUGUGAUAUUUCCUGUGCAUCACAGUGCCGCUUGGCGAGAGCUGUCUGGGGUGCUCACAGUCCCGCGGGCGUCCCGCAGAACUGGGACACCUCCCCUUGCAUCUCCUCUAGCCCCUUGCUGAGCUACUAGCCCCUCUCUCCAAAAUUCCAGCCUUUUUGUACUCCUUCCUGUUCAGGACACAUCCUCACCCCUCCCAGUCACUCCACCACAUCCUGUUAGUCAGUACAAGAAUCUGGGAGAGAUGUACAGCUUUGCUUGACAUGUUGCUUCACAAUUUCAUAGAAUCAUAGAACAGUUUGGGUUGAAGGGACCUUCAAAACCAUCCGGUUCCCCCCCUGCCAUGAGCAGGGACAUCUUCAGCAGCUCAGGGUGCUCAGAGCCCCGUCCAGCCUGGCCUGGGAUGUCUCCAGGGAUGGUUCAUCCACCACCUCUCUGGGAACCUGGGCCAGGCUCUCACCACCCUCAGGGCAACAAUUCCUUCCUCAUGUCCAGCCUGAAUCUCCCUCCUUUAGUUUAAAACCAUCACCCCUUGUCCUGUCAUAACACGCCCUUCUAAAAAGUCUGUCCCCAUUUUAUAAGCUCUUUUCAAGUACUGAAACCCAGCAGUAAGGUUUACCAAGGGCUGCACUAAAAACAUGGAGGAGAUGGAGAAAAGUAACUCCGAACGGUAACACAGAGCUUGUGGUCUUUAGCCAGGAUGUUUGAACUAAGACUGAAGACUUCAAACAGGAGACCUGGGGGCGGGGAUUCAUCAUCACCUCCAACUCUUAACAGCAUCGCUGACAAUAUCUAGGGCAGAGCUCCAGAUUUCACUACAGCCAAAGGAGAGCUGGUGCUAAUUCGCUGGAACUUCAAGUUCUGCGUAUCUGCCCAAAUGUAACCAUUUCCUUUAGAUGGCAUCGCGUGGCUCUGUUGACCCAGAGAGUGGGUGAUUCCCACACAGAUAAACUGAUGUUACAGAAAUCAUACUUAACGCUGUCGAUCUUACCAUGGUAUCCACUUUCUGAGCUCAAGUUUAAAGCAGCUGGAGGUCCAGCAGCGCUUUUGGGGAGCACGUCCCACCCGUAAAAAAACGACAGCGGGUAAAGCAAACCCCACCACAAACCCUUCCGACUGCUGAGGGGCAACGAUUUAUUCCACACGCAACUGGAGGGCGAAGGGCCACAGCUGACAGCUGACAAUGGCACAGUGUCACCAUUUGUCACCCCGUGCUUGAGCUAUAAUAAGAGCGUCUUUGUAUGGACACAACAGCGUUUAGGUAAAAUAUUUGAGCUAACCAGCGGAGGGGUCAGUAUGAGUCUAAGUUGCAAGAGAGUCUCUUCCUCGCUCGGGAGCUUGGUUUGCACCAAAAGCUUUGCUUUCCGGUUACUUUUUUUGCUUGCCCUUCUUUUUGGUGGAGCCAGGCCAGGGAAAGCCCCGGAGCUCCAGGAAGGCGGGCACGUUGUGGCAGAUGUAGUGUGCGUUGAGCAUGGCAGCCGGGCUGAAGAUAUCCGCUCCCUUCGGCCCCUUCUGCCCUUUCUUUUUGGACCCUCUGCCUUUGCCACGCUUGGGUUUGCUUUUACCUGCCUGCAGAGAGAAAAUGACCACAAAAACACUCAGUCAUAGAAUCAUAGUAUCAUUUUGGUAGGAGGAGAGCCUUAAGAUCAUCAAGUCAAACCAUAACCUGAAUCUAGUGCUAAACUGUGUCCCUAAGAUCCUCAUCUCUAUUUCAGUUCAAGCCCUCCGGGGAUGGUGACUCCACCACUGCCCUGGGCAGCCUGUUGCAGUGCUUUACAACCCCUUCCAUGAAGAAAUCUUUCCUAAUAUCCAAUCUGAACCUUCCCCUGGCGCAUCUUGAGGCCAUUUCCUCUCAUCCGACAUGUUUAUUGUCUCACGUAUCUUAAGAUAUCCCAGAACAGCUGUUUCAUUACAUCUUAGUCCUGGCUUGCAGGCUUAGCUCAGAGCCCCUCACACCACAGACUCCUGUACUUUGUGGUGAUUUUAUAUAUGACUCACAAGCAUUAAAACUUCCACCAAAGCCAUAUUUGCUCUAUAGGCUGUAAGAACCUUGAAAGUCAUCAGACACGGCUCGUUAGUGCUCCCCCGUGCUUCUCUCUGCCCAAAAUGGAAAUCAUCCAUCCUUUUCAAUUGAUUUUUUAAUUAAUGCAUUGAUACAAUCCUGAAGUAAACUAA